AAAAGCAAAGGAAUAGAGUUAUUUGAUCAGAACACAUUUGCACAGCUUGGCAUGGGGGAGUGUGAGAUAUUGCUGUCAGAAAUGAUUAUUCUCCAGCUUUGUCAUGGGGAUGAGCUAUUGUUUACCUGCUGGCCCCACACCAGGAUGGCGCCUCCUCCCCGCUCCCAAAGGAAGCCCGUGGAUGCGGUGGCAGCAAAGGCCGGGCUGCCGGCUUGCUCCCCGUCGUCUCCGUCACCCUCGGCAGUACCGCAGGUCCUCACACCUUUUGCACCGGAAGAAGGUGACAGCAGGGAGGUGGGAGCUGCGCCAGGCCCGGGGGGACCGCCUGCGCCCGCCUGGGCACCGGCCCCGUCGCGGCACCCUCCCCGCUGCCCGGCGGCCGGCCAUGGUGCUGGGCUGCGGUUAAGCGCUCGCUGCCCUCCGUUUCAGGGCGCACAUUUAUUUCAGGCUCUUACAGAUUUCCAUUUGUAUCCUUCCUUUUUCAUUGCCCCCCUCUUGGGGCCGAGAACAACAACAAAAGGCAUCAUAACAAUAAAG
rnacentral:lncRNA from 1 species